rnacentral:rRNA from 1 species
GAUGAACGCUGGCGGCGUGCCUAACACAUGCAAGUCGAACGGAGUUAUGAUGUGAGCGGGAAGUGCUUGCACUAAACAAUCUUUUCAUAACUUAGUGGCGGACGGGUGAGUAACGCGUGGGUAACCUGCCCUGUACUGGGGGACAACAGUUGGAAACGACUGCUAAUACCGCAUAAGCGCACGGGAUCGCAUGAUCUAGUGUGAAAAACUCCGGUGGUACAGGAUGGACCCGCGUCUGAUUAGCUGGUUGGUGAGGUAACGGCCCACCAAGGCAACGAUCAGUAGCCGGCCUGAGAGGGUGAACGGCCACAUUGGGACUGAGACACGGCCCAAACUCCUACGGGAGGCAGCAGUGGGGAAUAUUGCACAAUGGGGGAAACCCUGAUGCAGCGACGCCGCGUGAGUGAAGAAGUAUUUCGGUAUGUAAAGCUCUAUCAGCAGGGAAGAAAUGACGGUACCUGACUAAGAAGCCCCGGCUAACUACGUGCCAGCAG